GAUGAACGCUGGCGGCGUGCCUAAUACAUGCAAGUCGAGCGAACAGACGAGGAGCUUGCUCCUCUGACGUUAGCGGCGGACGGGUGAGUAACACGUGGAUAACCUACCUAUAAGACUGGGGUAACUUCGGGAAACCGGAGCUAAUACCGGAUAAUAUAUUGAACCGCAUGGUUCAAUAGUGAAAGACGGUUUUGCUGUCACUUAUAGAUGGAUCCGCGCCGCAUUAGCUAGUUGGUAAGGUAACGGCUUACCAAGGCAACGAUGCGUAGCCGACCUGAGAGGGUGAUAGGCCACACUGGAACUGAGACACGGUCCAGACUCCUACGGGAGGCAGCAGUAGGGAAUCUUCCGCAAUGGGCGAAAGCCUGACGGAGCAACGCCGCGUGAGUGAUGAAGGUCUUCGGAUCGUAAAACUCUGUUAUUAGGGAAGAACAAAUGUGUAAGUAACUAUGCACGUCUUGACGGUACCUAAUCAGAAAGCCACGGCUAACUACGUG
rnacentral:rRNA from 1 species